CCCGCUGAACUUAAGCAUAUCAAUAAGGCGAGGAACAGAAACCAACAGGGAUUCCCCUAGUAGUGGCGAAUGAAGCGGGAAAAGCUCAAGUUUGAAAUCUGGUGGCUUGUCCUUCAGAGUUGUAAGCUGAAGAGGCUGUGACCGACGCAGGCCGGGUCCAAUUUCCUUGGAACAGGGAGUCAUGGAGGGUGAGAACCCCGUGUGUGAUCCGGAACCUGUCGUCCUAGCGUCGCUACCUCGAAGAGUCGGGUUGUUUGGGAAUGCAGCUCAAAAUGGGUGGUAAAUCUCAUCUAAAGCUAAAUACUGGUGAGAGACCGAUAGCAAACAAGUAGAGUGAUCGAAAGAUGAAAAGCACUUUGGAAAGAGAGUGAAACAGUACGUGAAAUUGUUGAAAGGGAAACGCUUGAAGUCAGUCGCGUCGUCCGAGACUCAGCCUCGCCUCGGCUUGGUGUACUUCUCGGAUGACGGGUCAGCAUCAAUUUUGCCCCUUGGAUAAUGGCGAGGGAAAUGUGACACCUUUGCGGGUGUGUUAUAGUCUCUAGUCGCAUGCAAGGGUCGGGAUUGAGGAACUCAGCACGCGCCUUUGGGCGUCGGGGUUCGCCCACGAUACGUGCUUAGGAUGUUGGCGUAAUGGCUUUAAACGACCCGUCUUGAAACACGG
rnacentral:rRNA from 1 species